GACGAACGCUGGCGGCGUGCUUAACACAUGCAAGUCGAACGGAAAGGCCUCUUUCGGGGGGUACUCGAGUGGCGAACGGGUGAGUAACACGUGAGUAACCUGCCCUUGACUUUGGGAUAACUUCAGGAAACUGGGGCUAAUACCGGAUAGGAGCUCCUGCUGCAUGGUGGGGGUUGGAAAGUUUCGGCGGUUGGGGAUGGACUCGCGGCUUAUCAGCUUGUUGGUGGGGUAGUGGCUUACCAAGGCUUUGACGGGUAGCCGGCCUGAGAGGGUGACCGGCCACAUUGGGACUGAGAUACGGCCCAGACUCCUACGGGAGGCAGCAGUGGGGAAUAUUGCACAAUGGGUGGAAGCCUGAUGCAGCAACGCCGUGGGCGGGAUGACGGCCUUCGGGUUGUAAACCGCUUUCGCUCAUGACGAAGCUUUGUGUGACGGUAGUGGGUAAAGAAGCACCGGCUAACUACGUGC
rnacentral:rRNA from 1 species